GAUGAAGAACGCAGCGAAAUGCGAUAAGUAAUGUGAAUUGCAGAAUUCAGUGAAUCAUCAAAUCUUUGAACGCACCUUGCGCCCUUUGGCCAUUCCGAAGGGCAUGCCUGUUUGAGUAUCAUGAACACCUCAACUCUUCAUGGUUUUCCGUGAUGAGCUUGGACUUUGGGGGUCUUGCUGGCCUAUGGUCAGCUCCUCUAAAAUAAAUCAGCUUGCCAGUGUUUGGUGGGUAUCACAGGUGUGAUAACUAUCUACGCUUGUGGUUUUCCACCAGGUAACCUUCAGCAGUGGAGGUUCGCUGGAGCUCACAGAUGUGUCUCUCCUCAGUGAGGACAGCUCUUUGAAUGUUUGAUCUCAAAUCAGGUAGGACUACCCGCUGAACUUAAGCAUAUCAAUAAGCGGAGGA
rnacentral:misc_RNA from 1 species